rnacentral:rRNA from 1 species
AGCUCCAAUAGCGUAUAUUAAAGUUGUUGCGGUAAAAAGCUCGUAGUUGGAUUUCUGUUGAAAUGGGGCGGUCCGUACCACGUACGCGUAUCUGCUUCCGUUUUGGCAUCCUCCUGAAGAACGUUGCUGCGCUUGAUUGCGUGGUGCGGAUUUCAGGACUUUUACUUUGAGGAAAUUAGAGUGUUCACAGCAGGCUAUCGCUUGAAUACGUUAGCAUGGAAUAAUGAUAUAGGACUUCGUUUCUAUUUUGUUGGUUUCUAGAAAUGAGGUAAUGAUUAAUAGGGACAAUUGGGGGCAUUCGUAUCAACGCGUCAGAGGUGGAAUUCUUGGAUUGCGUUGCGACGAACUACUGCGAAAGCAUUUGCCAAGGAUGUUUUCA